UACAGAGACUGCAAGCGUUAUUCGGAUUCACUGGGCGUAAAGGGUGCGCAGGCGGCCAUGUGUGUGAGGCGUGAAAGCCCGGGGCUUAACCCCGGAAUUGCACCUCAAACUAUAUGGCUAGAGCAUUGGAGAGGGUAGCAGAAUUCACGGUGUAGCAGUGAAAUGCGUAGAUAUCGUGAGGAAUACCAGAGGCGAAGGCGGCUACCUGGACAAUUGCUGACGCUCAGGCACGAAAGCGUGGGGAGCAAACAGG
rnacentral:rRNA from 1 species